rnacentral:rRNA from 1 species
UGGGGAAUAUUGCACAAUGGAGGGAACUCUGAUGCAGCGACGCCGCGUGAACGAAGAAGGCUUUCGAGUCGUAAAGUUCUUUUAUAUGGGAAGAUAAUGACGGUACCAUGAGAAAAAGCCCCGGCUAACUACGUGCCAGCAGCCGCGGUAAUACGUAGGGGGCUAGCGUUGUCCGGAAUCACUGGGCGUAAAGGGUUCGCAGGCGGAAAUGCAAGUCAGGUGUAAAAGGCAGUAGCUUAACUACUGUAAGCAUUUGAAACUGCAUAUCUUGAGAAGAGUAGAGGUAAGUGGAAUUUUUAGUGUAGCGGUGAAAUGCGUAGAUAUUAAAAAGAAUACCGGUGGCGAAGGCGACUUACUGGGCUCAUUCUGACGCUGGGGAACGAAAGCGUGGGUAGCAAACAGG